UCUCUCUCUCUCUCUUCUUCCUCCUUUCUGUCUAUCUUUUUCUAAAAUCUCUGUAAUCAGUAGAAACCCUCAUUUCUAGGUAACUACUGACAGAUUGGUAUCAGAGCCAGGUUCCUGUGGAGGGCUUUGAUCCAGAUCAGUACCAGGGGUGUCGCGAGAUGCCUAGAAGUCUAGUGGUGAAUCAAGAAACUGUCAGAAUGGAAGAGCUGGAAGAAAAGGUGCGCAAUUGGCAAGAA
rnacentral:misc_RNA from 1 species